GUGGAAAUUAUUAUCUUAUAGAAGAUCUUAGUUCAAAACAUUAUAGCAAAUUAUCUUAAAAAUAUAGAUAAAAGUGAAAAUGGUAGUUGUAGAAGGGUAGAAUUUUGUUUUUAUAAGAUAUUGUUAAAGUAGAUUAAUCAUUCCUAGGAUAGUCAAUUCAAUAAGACAGGUGAUUGAAUUAGUUGUGAAAAACGGUUAAGUAGGGAAUGAC
rnacentral:lncRNA from 1 species